UGGGACAUCACUUAAACAGUUUUCAUCUGAAGAAACCACACCAAUCAUUUUCAGGCUCUGAACACCACAUCCUGAUUAUUAAGUUAUAAAACAAGAGAAACUGCAAUGGUAUUUAUGACUAGCAACCCCAGUCUUUCUGGUCACUUAAUCAGCGUGAAUUGAUCUUGUUUGGUCCAACACAUCUGAAGAACAGAUCAUCUCCUUCCUAGAAGGAAACAAAAAAAUAUUGCCUCAGGGGAAAGAAAUUGGCAAUGUUUUCCAAGCAUAAUCAUAUAGUUAUGCUUUCAAAACAGGGGUGCCUUCCCAGACUGACCCCCAGUAGCAGAGGAAUCAUCAAGAACAGAGACAGUGACAUGAGAGUCCCCCCAGCUUUCUUGGACUAUAGCGUUAUUCCUUUCUCAAAUACAAACUGUUUGGAACUGAGGCAUUAUUCAAAAUAAGAAUGAAAAUAAUAAUUAUAAAUUAGUAAGAAUGGAGUAUCUGUGAAUCACUUCAGGGAAGCACUGAAGCCUAUGGAGAUAUACGGACACAAAGGCAGACCUGAGGAAGAAUGUCAUCUGUUCUUUCCUGCACUACUGGCUGGAUCUGGGACAUUACUUGGUUGUUAUUUUUUAAAUGACCCUCAUGAACACCUGCUAGCCCCUUCAAGGUUUCCAUAAAUGAGGGAUCCCAGAUAUGUUUGGCUUUGCUUCUGUAUUUUCUGUUCCUACUUUCUAGAUUCUUCAUAUUUUCACUGUCACAGCAUUUCACAUUCAGAUGAAAUGCUUCAAGUGGCUUUACUGUUUAUCUAUACAUGCAUAUAUACACACACAUAAGUACACAUUAAAUUGUUAUAAAAUUGUCUCUACCAGGAAAUAUAUUCCUUCUUUUUCUCCCACUUAUAUUUCAAGUUCCUAUUUAAGAACAAUGAGACAAACUACUAUCAGCGUCUUUCAGUCUUCACAUAGUAGCUGUAUACAGGUCAAAAUUAAAGUAACAUUAUCAAAAGAGAUUGGAUUAAAUUAUGAAAAAAAAAAAUGGUCAGAUAAAAGAGCAUAAAAAGAUUAAACUGAGAUGGCUUGGCACAGAAAUAUCUGUAAAAAGUAAUGACUUUUUUUUUUUCACCUAAGUCAAGCAUUCUGUGUUUUGCUAUGUAUUUUACGAAGGUGUUUUAGCUGUGCUAAUGGAAAAGAAAUUAAUGUAUUAAUGAGAUACAAUUGUUUCUGACAUGCAAUAAAAAAGGGAAGCAACAAUUUAAGAAGUAGGAUGAUAUCUGAACUUUAAAAACCUGUAACAUUUUUUUGUUUGAACUGUAAAUGCCUACUUAAAGAUCUCUGUGACAGCAUUUGGUGUUAAUAUGAAUCUCAUAGACUCAAGCGUAUAUUGAGGGUCAUCAAUAUAGUCUACAGCAUGCUCCUAAAAGUCCUCAACACACCUGUUCAUAUGGAGAAAAUAUCAUAAAAAAUAUUUAGUUACAUUAUUUAUAUGACUUGUCCAGGGAAGUCCAGGUUUUGAAUAAGAAAGAUUCCCAAGAACUCCAAGCCUGUGUCCUUACAGGAGUCCUAAGUUUUGAGGCAGGCUGUAAAUGACUCUGUACCUGGUUGCAAUGGCUUAAGUAUAGCUUUGCAGUAAAAAAAGGUCAUAUAAUGAAAGUGCCACAGAAGGAUUGAUUUUGCUUGGGAAAGCAGAGGAACUAAUCCUUUCCUAUCACCUUCAUGCAGAGAAGUGUCCUUAUACAGAAUUAAAGCAGAAGAGCAUUAACUGGAGCCCUGUGCUCUCAUUUCCAACCUGGCUCACAGACCCAGGCUGUACAACAAAGGGACAGAUGGAGAAAAGAUAACUGACCUAUCUACCUGAGAUCUUUGCCUCAGAGGUCCUUCUGUAUGCCCUCCAGGCAGCUCAGAGUGGAAACAUCCAGAAGAGGCCACUUGAUCAAAGAGGACUGUCAUUCAGACUCUCGAAUUUAGGAGCACUUUGAUUAGGUGCUUAAUUAAGAACCCAGCUCAGGCUGUGAGUGUUAAACUCUGCCCUGACCUUAACAGCUGAAGGAACUCAAAGCAAAUGACAGAAUAUAU